rnacentral:rRNA from 1 species
AGUGGAUGGGGAGCAACCUAGUUGUGCGUGUGUAAAGGUAGUGCCAAGAAAAGCGAUGAUCAUGUUGAAAAUCAAUUCCCGGUACCCGAAACCGACACAGGUGGGCAAGUAGAGAAUACUAAGGGGCGCGAGGUAACUCUCUCCAAGGAACUCGGCAAAAUGACCCCGUAACUUAGGGAGAAGGGGUGCCACCGAGAGGUGGUCGCAGUGAAGAGGCCCAGGCGACUGUUUAGCAAAAACAUAGGUCUCUGCAAACUCGAAAGAGGAGGUAUAGGGGCUGACGCCUGCCCAGUGCCGGAAGGUUAAAGGAGUUGGUCAGUUUUAGGAUGAAGCUAGCGACUGAAGCCCCGGUGAACGGCGGCCGUAACUAUAACGGUCCUAAGGUAGCGAAAUUCCUUGUCGGGUAAGUUCCGACCCGCACGAAAGGCGUAACGAUCUGGGCGCUGUCUCGGAGAGAGGCUCGGCGAAAUAGGAUUGUCUGUGAAGAUACGGACUACCUGCAUUUGGACAGAAAGACCCUAUGAAGCUUUACUAUAGCUUGGAAUUGUGUUCGGGCUUCCUGUGCGCAGGAUAGGUGGGAGGCGUAGAAGGUAUUCUUGUGGGGAUACUGGAGCCAACGGUGAGAUACCACUGUCAGGAGGCUAGAAUUCUAACUUAAUUAAGGACAGUUUCAGGUGGGUAGUUUGACUGGGGCGGUCGCCUCCAAAAAGGUAACGGAGGCGUACAAAGGUUCCCUCAGACUGGUUGGAAAUCAGUCGAAGAGUGCAAAGGCAGAAGGGAGCUUGACUGCGAGAAGUACAGUUCGAGCAGGGUGGAAGCACGGUCUUAGUGGUCCGACGGUACUGUGUGGAAGGGCCGUCGCUCAACGGAUAAAAGUUACUCUAGGAUAACAGGCUGAUCUCCCCCAAGAGUUCACAUCGACGGGGAGGUUUGGCACCUCGGUGUCGGCUCAUCGCAACCUGGGGCGGAAGUACGUCCCAAGGGUUGGGCUGUUCGCCCAUUAAAGCGGUACGUGAGCUGGGUUCAGAACGUCGUGAGACAGUUCGGUCCAUAUCCGAUGUAGGCGUGAGAAUAUUGAGAGGAGCCUUCCUUAGUACGAGAGGACCGGGAAGGACGCACCGCUGGUGUACCUGUUAUGAUGCCAAUUGUAAACGCAGGGUAGCCAAGUGCGGAGAGGAUAACCGCUGAAAGCAUCUAAGUGGGAAGCCCACCUCAAGAUGAGUAUUCUGGUGUAAGGUCACGGGAAGACGACCCGUAAAUAGGCACGAGGUGGAAGUGCAGAGAUGUAUGAAGCCGAAGUGUACUAAUAGACCGUCGGCUUGACU